UUCCGGAGGUAAAGCACUGAAUGGCCUAGGGCCCGAGAGGGUACCGAAGCCUAUCAAACUCUGAAUGCCGGAAAAUUGAUGCAUGGGAGUCAGACUAUGUGAGAUAAGUCUCAUAGUCGAAAGGGAAACAGCCCAGAUCUACAGCUAAGGUCCCAAAGCAGGUUUAAGUGGAAAAGGAUGUGGAGUUGCGAAAACAGCCAGGAUGUUGGCUUAGAAGCAGCCACUCAUUUAAAGAGUGCGUAAUAGCUCACUGGUCGAGUGACUCUGCGCCGAAAAUUCAACGGGGCUAAAACCUGCACCGAAGCUUAGGCAUCCGCAAGGAUGGGUAGGGGAGCGUUGUGUACGAGGCGAAGCAUUAGCGAAAGCGGAUGUGGAUUGUACACAAGUGAGAAUGCCGGAAUAAGUAGCGCGAAUGAUGUGAGAAUCAUCAUGGCCGAAAGCCUCAGGUUUUUGGAGGAAGGUUCGUCCGCUCCAAGUUAGCCGGGAGCUAAGGUGAGGCCGAAAGGCGUAGCCGAUGCACAUACGGUAGAGAUUCCGUAGCCGCCGAAAGAUUUAAGCAGGGGGACACAUUUGAAGUGUUGGUGCCGGGUGUUGGUUUACCCGGUCGAAAGGGACUGAAAUUUAGUAGGGAAGUCCAGCAUGGAGAGUGGCGAGAAAAGCCCUGUGUAUAUCUAAGGCGCCCGUACCGCAAACCGACACAGGUAGGUAGGAAGAAGAUUCUAAGGCCAACGGGAGAAGGGUUGUUAAGGAACUCGGCAAGUUGACCCCGUAACUUCGGGAGAAGGGGUGCUCAUGAAAGUGAGCCGCAGAGAAUAGGCCCAAGCAACUGUUUAGCAAAAACACAGGUCUGUGCUAAAUCGAAAGAUGACGUAUACGGGCUGACACCUGCCCGGUGCUGGAAGGUUAAGGGGAUGUGUGCAAGCACUGAACCGAAGCCCCAGUAAACGGCGGCCGUAACUAUAACGGUCCUAAGGUAGCGAAAUUCCUUGUCAGGUAAGUUCUGACCCGCACGAAUGGUGUAAUGAUUUGGGCACUGUCUCAACAGCCCGCCCGGCGAAAUUGUAGUACCGGUGAAGAUGCCGGUUUCCCGCGACAAGACGGAAAGACCCCAUGGAGCUUUACUGCAGCCUAAUAUUGGGUUUCGAUAUUACAUGUACAGGAUAUGUGGGAGACAUGGAAGCACGGGCGUCAGCCUGUGUGGAGUCAGCCUUGGGAUACCACACUUGUGAUAUUGGAAUUCUAACCUGCGGCCCUGAAUCGGGUCGGGGGACAUUGUUAGGCGGGCAGUUUGACUGGGGCGGUCGCCUCCGAAAAAGUAACGGAGGCGUUCAAAGGUUGGCUCAGCUUGGACGGAAACCAAGCCAAAGAGUGCAAACGCAUAAGCCAGCCUAACUGCGAGACUGACGGGUCGAG
rnacentral:rRNA from 1 species